UUUGUUAUAGUCUAAUGGUUAAGAUUAUUCUCUGAAAAAGAAUAGGUCUAGGUUCGAUUCCUAGUAACAACC
rnacentral:tRNA from 1 species